rnacentral:rRNA from 1 species
GACGAACCGUCCGAACGUUAUUCGGAAUCACUGGGCUUACAGAGUUCGUAGGCGGUCUGGAAAGUUGGGUGUGAAAUCCCUUGGCCUAACCAAGGAACUGCGCUUGAAACUACCAGACUCGGGGGAGAUAGAGGAAAGCGGAACUGAUGGUGGAGCGGUGAAAUGCGUUGAUAUCAUCAGGAACACCGGUGGCGAAGGCGGCUUUCUGGGUCUCUUCUGACGCUGAGGAACGAAAGCUAGGGGAGCGAACGGG